ensembl:lncRNA
CUCUGAAUCGCACUUAUGAGAAAAUUUAGGACGGUUUAUACACAACAUUUUAUAAAUGAGGCCCCAGGUCCUGCACGGGGACCCACGGGUCUCUUUUAAUGAACACACCUGAUUCAGAUCAUCAGCUCAUCAGCAGGGAGCUCCAUCAGCUGAGGGUUUCAGAUCAUACAGUGCAGAAUGUGCAGGAGCAGGACUGAAAGCCACUGACCUACAGAGUCACAAGACACGGUUGCAAAGGCAAUCGAUGAAGUGCAUCCAAAGCUCCCUAUCAGUUUCCAUGAGGCUUCACAAGACAUACGUCUACAGCAACACACCGUUUCGAGACAUGGAUGGAUACACUGAUGAACAGCCAAAUGACCUUAACUGAUGCCUGAGUGGAAGUUCAUUAAAUGUUAUCAAACAUAAAACACCAACACGUCAAAAUGAGAGCAGGCCACAGAGAGAAGCGUCAUUACAAUGCGAGUCCAGGAGCGCCGUCCUCUCUGACCUGCGGUGCAUCCCAUCGCCCCGGCAGCACGAGGUCAGAGAGAAUAGAGGACCAGUGCCAUCCCACACUCCAUAAGAUAGACUAAAGCCUUUAUCUGUCUAUUCCCAGCACAGGGUGGCCGGGCCACAGCCGCUAUCAACAGAGAGCCUGAAAUAUGCCUCAGAAUGAAAUCCAGUCUCAGCUCUGUCUCAAAAUAGAUUUCUCUUUCUUGUCUUUCACCCCUUGUUGUACACGGCACUGAAAAGAUUGUCUGGGAAAUACAGUAUAACUCACACCAGGGCUGGACCGAUUCGAGCACGCGUUUCCGUUCAG